rnacentral:rRNA from 1 species
GGCAGGCCUAACACAUGCAAGUCGAGCGGUAGAGAGAAGCUUGCUNCUCUUGAGAGCGGCGGACGGGUGAGUAAUGCCUAGGAAUCUGCCUGGUAGUGGGGGAUAACGUUCGGAAACGGACGCUAAUACCGCAUACGUCCUACGGGAGAAAGCAGGGGACCUUCGGGCCUUGCGCUAUCAGAUGAGCCUAGGUCGGAUUAGCUAGUUGGUGAGGUAAUGGCUCACCAAGGCGACGAUCCGUAACUGGUCUGAGAGGAUGAUCAGUCACACUGGAACUGAGACACGGUCCAGACUCCUACGGGAGGCAGCAGUGGGGAAUAUUGGACAAUGGGCGAAAGCCUGAUCCAGCCAUGCCGCGUGUGUGAAGAAGGUCUUCGGAUUGUAAAGCACUUUAAGUUGGGAGGAAGGGCAGUAAAUUAAUACUUUGCUGUUUUGACGUUACCGACAGAAUAAGCACCGGCUAACUCUGUGCCAGCAGCCGCGGUAAUACAGAGGGUGCAAGCGUUAAUCGGAAUUACUGGGCGUAAA